rnacentral:siRNA from 1 species
CACGAUAGGCCUACUUCAAGGC